rnacentral:rRNA from 1 species
CGGAAUUACUGGGCGUAAAGGGCGCGUAGGCGGCCUGUUAAGUCGGACGUGAAAUCCCCGGGCUCAACCCGGGAACUGCGUCCGAUACUGGCAGGCUUGAGUCCGGGAGAGGGAUGUGGAAUUCCAGGUGUAGCGGUGAAAUGCGUAGAUAUCUGGAGGAACACCGGUGGCGAAGGCGGCAUCCUGGACCGGUAUUGACGCUGAUGCGCGAAAGCCAGGGGAGCAAACGGG